rnacentral:lncRNA from 1 species
GUGGUUCAUGGGGAAAUGAGAGACUUCCAAAUUGAGGGAAGCAGGAAGAGAAACCAAAGUAGAAAAAAGGCAAGGCAAUAGAAUGAGAUGGAAAAUAAAAACUAUAUUUGGGGAGGAAGCUUGGGCCCUCAUGACCACAUGGCCUCUGAGCGUCUCGGCUUGACACCUUGAAGGGUUGGCCAGUGGAGAGCCACUGACAGGACAUAAUGAAUGGUGCCCGCCUGUGAUAGAUAGCAGUAUAUACAUUGACCUUUCAAAGGUUUAACGAUCUUUUAUAAUAAGUUAGGGUUGAUGUACAUUAGAUAGACUGAUCGUUGAGUAUUUAUUCACCCCGACUUUCAGCAGCCUUGGUUGAUUGAUUAUAGCUUUGCCUACCUUCCCAAAUUGCUCCCUUCAACAUGAUGUGCCUAAGCCUCUGUGAAGAAAAAAGAGGAAGCUUUAGUUUGCAAAUUUUUAGAAUAUGGAUUAAAACUCAGAUUUCAGAGCCAGACCUACAUAUUUUUCAGAAAUCCAAAUUUAAGAUAAUGUCCCCAGACCCAUCUUAUGUAACUUAAAGUUGAACACUAAGGCUAUGUGUUAAAAUCAAAUUUCUCCCCCAUCUAUACAUGUAUUUAUUUACACAGGCAAGCAAACAGAAAUCCAUGGGCAACAUUCUAAAUCAGUCCUUCUGAGCUACUAUGAUGAGAAACAUUUUCAUGAACCUUCUUAGGUCAUAAUGAUACUUUUCUACUUCAGAUUAUUGCAGGAUAUUUUGAUCUGAGAGCAACUCUUCAAGUCUAUAUGUGUUUGGGUUUUUUUUUUUUUGUAAUUUUUUUCCUAUUUUUUUCUCUCUUAUUUCCUAAACACUUUUUAAGAGCAUAACCAUGAACGAAUAUUUACCAGACUGGACCAGUGGUCAUUUUACUCUCCAGUGAUGGCCAGUGUUCCUAUUUAUGAAGGAUAUUACGGUUUUAUCCUGACCUGUGCUGAGAGGCUAAAGAAAAAUGAUUAUCUUUAUAAUGUUCACUGUGUAUAAUGGCCUUGCUCAUAUAACCAGUUACAGAUAAUUAGCCAUGACUGUAUUAAUUAAUCUUUCAAAAAGGUAAGAACUCUAGUAUACACAUUUAUAGAAUUAGUAAGAUGCAUGUUGCUUUUAGCUGAAUGGGUCAAAUAAGUAUGUGUGAAGAAAAGAAACAUUUGAGAGCAAAAAGUACUGCACACACUAAGGAAUUAUUUCUCAUUUGGUAAUCCAAACUCUGACUCUGUGUGUGUGCAUAUGUGUGUAUGUGUAUGUGUGUAUGUGUGUGUGUGUGACUUUAGACAACUGAAGACUUAGCGGUAAGAAUUAUCUGGAGAUUCAUCAUUAUCUGCUAUCAUAUUGUGAUGUCUUGUUGAAUAAUAAAUGUAAAUGCAGUAGAAUUUGUUAGAAAUGUAUUUAACAUAAAUAUAAUACAACAGCUAAAUAACAAGAGCCUCAUAAAUAUUACUUGGGCACUAAGAAAAGUGAAUCCUGGAGUGAAAGGAGAGGAAGAUUUGCUGGACCAAGUUUUUACCUUUAUAACUUCAACCUGUAGACAGUUGGCAUCGGGGCUCACAUCUCUAAUUCAAAUGUUCUGGGAAAUUACAAGUAUAAAUCUCUGCCACAACAAGCAGGAGGGAGGACAAGAGGUCUGCAUAACAUUCCAUUUGGGAAGAUAGAUAGCUUCAGAUUGGAACUGGAAUGUUGAAGCAGUCUAAAUCAACACACAUGUUUCCUUUUGAGUCAUAAUCAGAUAAAUGGUAGGUGAUGACCACAGGGAGGAAAAAGAAAAGUCCAGAAAAUAAUGUUUAUGAAUUUACAAUUUUCAGAAAAAUAAUAUGAAAUAUCUAUUGAAAUUUGUCCCUUACUAAUUUAGCAUAAGACAUUACUGUCCAGCAGUCAAACCAACGUAUGUGAAAAUGUUAGGACCUGAAAUGCCCAUAAAAGCUUUUGAGACUUGUGAAGAUGCCAUUUGUUGUUCAAACGUGCACC